AUGCCGUUCGACACGGUUCCUCCUGCGGCGGAACGCCAAGAAGGAAGGAGACCUGCUCGCUGCCCAGGCCCGCCUGAAGGAUGUGGAGGCCCUGCUCAACUCCAAGGAGGCUGCGCUCAGCACCGCCUUGGGGGAGAAGCGCAACCUGGAGGCUGAAGUCCGUGACCUCAGAGGCCAGCUGGCCAAGGUGGAGGGAUCCUUGGCCGACAUCAAGAAGCAGCUUCAGGAUGAAAUGCUGCGGAGGGUGGAUGCGGAGAACAGGCUGCAGACCCUGAAGGAGGAGCUGGACUUCCAGAAAAACAUCUACAGC